GACGAACGCUGGCGGCGUGCCUAAUACAUGCAAGUUGAGCGCUGAAGGUUGGUACUUGUACCAACUGGAUGAGCAGCGAACGGGUGAGUAACGCGUGGGGAAUCUGCCUUUGAGCGGGGGACAACAUUUGGAAACGAAUGCUAAUACCGCAUAAAAACUUUAAACACAAGUUUUAAGUUUGAAAGAUGCAAUUGCAUCACUCAAAGAUGAUCUCGCGUUGUAUUAGCUAGUUGGUGAGGUAAAGGCUCACCAAGGCGAUGAUACAUAGCCGACCUGAGAGGGUGAUCGGCCACAUUGGGACUGAGACACGGCCCAAACUCCUACGGGAGGCAGCAGUAGGGAAUCUUCGGCAAUGGACGAAAGUCUGACCGAGCAACGCCGCGUGAGUGAAGAAGGGUUUCGGAUCGUAAAACUCUGUUGGUAGAGAAGAACGUUGGUGAGAGUGGAAAGCUCAUCAAGUGACGGUAACUACACAGAAAGGGACGGCUAACUACGUG
rnacentral:rRNA from 1 species